GGUGAACGCUGGCGGCGUGCUUAAGACAUGCAAGUCGAACGAUCGUCUUCGGACGGUAGUGGCGCACGGGUGAGUAACGCGUAACUGACCUGCCCCCAAGUCCCGAAUAACCCUCCGAAAGGAGGGCUAAUACGGGAUGUGCUGUCCCCUCCUGUGUGGCCAGUAAAGGCUUGACCGCUUGGGGGUUGGGUUGGGUUCCAUCGGUUAGAUGGUGGGGGCAAGGCCUACCAUGGCAACGACGGAUAACCGGCCUGAGAGGGUGGCCGGUCACAGGGGCACGGGGGCACGGGUCCCGCUCCUGCGGGCGGCAGCAGUUAGGAGUCUUCACCAAUGGACGAAAGGCUGAGGGCGCGUCGCCGCGUGAGGGGUGAGGGUUUUCGGAUCGUGAGCCUCUGAAUCAGGGACGAAAGACGCGGGAGCGAGAUAACGGUACCUGUGUAAUAGCACCGGCUAACUCCGUG
rnacentral:rRNA from 1 species